UUGGGUAGGGGAGCGUUCUGUAAGCCUGCGAAGGUGGCCUGUGAGGGUUGCUGGAGGUAUCAGAAGUGCGAAUGCUGACAUAAGUAACGAUAAAGCGGGUGAAAAGCCCGCUCGCCGGAAGACCAAGGGUUCCUGUCCAACGUUAAUCGGGGCAGGGUGAGUCGACCCCUAAGGCGAGGCCGAAAGGCGUAGUCGAUGGGAAACGGGUUAAUAUUCCCGUACUUGGUGUUACUGCGAAGGGGGGACGGAGAAGGCUAUGUUGGCCGGGCGACGGUUGUCCCGGUUUAAGCGUGUAGGUGUGUGUUCCAGGUAAAUCCGGUUCACUUUAACACUGAGGCGUGACGACGAGGCACUACGGUGCUGAAGCAACAAAUGCCCUGCUUCCAGGAAAAGCCUCUAAGCAUCAGGUAACAUCAAAUCGUACCCCAAACCGACACAGGUGGUCAGGUAGAGAAUACCAAGGCGCUUGAGAGAACUCGGGUGAAGGAACUAGGCAAAAUGGUGCCGUAACUUCGGGAGAAGGCACGCUGACACGUAGGUGAAGUGAUUUACUCAUGGAGCUGAAGUCAGUCGAAGAUACCAGCUGGCUGCAACUGUUUAUUAAAAACACAGCACUGUGCAAACACGAAAGUGGACGUAUACGGUGUGACGCCUGCCCGGUGCCGGAAGGUUAAUUGAUGGGGUCAGCGCAAGCGAAGCUCCUGAUCGAAGCCCCGGUAAACGGCGGCCGUAACUAUAACGGUCCUAAGGUAGCGAAAUUCCUUGUCGGGUAAGUUCCGACCUGCACGAAUGGCGUAAUGAUGGCCAGGCUGUCUCCACCCGAGACUCAGUGAAAUUGAACUCGCUGUGAAGAUGCAGUGUACCCGCGGCAAGACGGAAAGACCCCGUGAACCUUUACUAUAGCUUGACACUGAACAUUGAGCCUUGAUGUGUAGGAUAGGUGGGAGGCUUUGAAGUGUGGACGCCAGUCUGCAUGGAGCCGACCUUGAAAUACCACCCUUUAAUGUUUGAUGUUCUAACGUGGACCCGUUACCCGGGUUGCGGACAGUGUCUGGUGGGUAGUUUGACUGGGGCGGUCUCCUCCUAAAGAGUAACGGAGGAGCACGAAGGUUGGCUAAUCCUGGUCGGACAUCAGGAGGUUAGUGCAAUGGCAUAAGCCAGCUUGACUGCGAGCGUGACGGCGCGAGCAGGUGCGAAAGCAGGUCAUAGUGAUCCGGUGGUUCUGAAUGGAAGGGCCAUCGCUCAACGGAUAAAAGGUACUCCGGGGAUAACAGGCUGAUACCGCCCAAGAGUUCAUAUCGACGGCGGUGUUUGGCACCUCGAUGUCGGCUCAUCACAUCCUGGGGCUGAAGUAGGUCCCAAGGGUAUGGCUGUUCGCCAUUUAAAGUGGUACGCGAGCUGGGUUUAGAACGUCGUGAGACAGUUCGGUCCCUAUCUGCCGUGGGCGCUGGAGAACUGAGGGGGGCUGCUCCUAGUACGAGAGGACCGGAGUGGACGCAUCACUGGUGUUCGGGUUGUCAUGCCAAUGGCACUGCCCGGUAGCUAAAUGCGGAAGAGAUAAGUGCUGAAAGCAUCUAAGCACGAAACUUGCCCCGAG
rnacentral:rRNA from 1 species